UACGUAGGGUGCAAGCGUUAAUCGGAAUUACUGGGCGUAAAGCGUGCGCAGGCGGUGAUGUAAGACAGGUGUGAAAUCCCCGGGCUUAACCUGGGAACUGCAUUUGUGACUGCAUCGCCGGAGUGCGGCAGAGGGGGAUGGAAUUCCGCGUGUAGCAGUGAAAUGCGUAGAUAUGCGGAGGAACACCGAUGGCGAAGGCAAUCCCCUGGGCCUGCACUGACGCUCAUGCACGAAAGCGUGGGGAGCAAACAGG
rnacentral:rRNA from 1 species